rnacentral:rRNA from 1 species
GAUGAGCGCUAGCGGCAGGCUUAAUACAUGCAAGUCGAGGGGUAGCAAGAUUGUAGCAAUACAAUUGUUGACGACCGGCAAACGGGUGCGGAACACGUACACAACCUUCCUACAAGUGGGGAAUAGCCCAGAGAAAUUUGGAUUAAUACCCCGUAACAUAGCGAUGUGGCAUCACAUUGCUAUUAUAGCUUCGGCGCUUGUUGAUGGGUGUGCGGCUGAUUAGAUAGUUGGCGGGGUAACGGCCCACCAAGUCGACGAUCAGUAGCUGAUGUGAGAGCAUGAUCAGCCACACGGGCACUGAGACACGGGCCCGACUCUUACGGGAGGCAGCAGUAAGGAAUAUUGGACAAUGGACGCAAGUCUGAUCCAGCCAUGCCGCGUGAAGGAUUAAGGUCCUCUGGAUUGUAAACUUCUUUUAUAAGGGACGAAAAAAGGUCUUUCUAGAUCGUCUGACGGUACCUUAUGAAUAAGCACCGGCUAACUCCGUGCCAGCAGCCGCCGCGGUAA